GUUUUGAUUCAUCCCUGAUAGUCGGACUAAGGCCUGUAGGCGACGCUGUGCGAGCGAGGAGCGGGUCGCUCCGGCGCGGCGGUCUAGGUGUGGGUGGAGCUGAGGCCAUCCGGACGCGGGGCACCGGAGCCCGGGGACCGGCGCACUUCCAACGGCGUUUUCCUCUUUGUGCUGGACAAGGCUGGAGUACAAAAUGUGAAUAUACAUACAUUACCGGGCCUGUCUGUAGUGUCUUACUGUAAAACGAGGGAAUUCCAUCGCUACACAGUUUUCUCUAUUUUUUUUGUAUAAAUUUAAAAGGGGGCUGUUCAUCAGGUAAAAGGUGCUAGUAGGUAAGCGAAGGUAACAUGAUUUUAAAUGAAUCACGUUGUCAGCGUCAGACGUUUAUAUUUUUGUGUGUGUACAGAAGUGCUAGAAGUCUAUGGGACAGAUCACCUACAGGCUAUUUUCUUUUCAGAAAUCACUGGGGGCAAGAUGUUAAGAUUUUAUCUUUCCUGCUCUCCAGACGCUGGAGUAAAUCAGGGCCUAAAGAGUCCUUCAAGGAAUGGGAAAGAAAGGAACCCGAUUUGACAUCCUUGCAAAUAGAACUGUUUCUCCAUGCUUCUGCCGCCUCACCUCAGACUAUCCUUAGAAGUUGGCCCCGUCUUCAGGGUUUUGUUCAAAUGCCCCCUGGGUGCCGCCAUAGCUUCUAUUUACCCCCAGGUUAGCGGCUUCGUUCUCAUUCUGUCGACCGGACUUUUGAGUAUUGCCUUUCUUACUCUUUGCUCAGUAGCCCGGCAGCUUCAAGCGAUGAAGUUUAGCUUUCCUUCCUUCGCUGGUGUUAUGUACGCAUCUCGCACUGUGGAUACCUCUGACACGCUCUUCCCUCAUUUCCCUUUAAUAUGAGUUUAUAUAUACCUACAAGAACUUUUAUGAAAGAUGGUAAAAACUAAAAAUAUGUAUAGAUGGAACCAAGGUAAGUUUAUUAGAGGUCAGGAAAAGGUCUCUUCUGACCACUCGAAAGCUCAUAAAGGUGAUGAUUGCUUUUGGGUUUCUCUACAUGGAAUGGCAGAGGCCAGUGCAUUUGUUGACUUUAUCCUUAGUGGGCUAAUUCAUUUUGCUUUCAUGAGUCACAAAACUUCAUUCUUAAUCCUGUCUCUCCUCCUUCUUGCAAAAUGCAUGCCUAUUUUGAUUGAACCGAAGUCUAAGAAUUUGGUUGGCUCAGUUCAAAUACAGCACUAUUAGAAAAGUUUAUUCAGCAAGUAUUCAUUGGUCACAUAAUGUGUGGCACUGUGAUUCAAAAGGUGUGUGUUUCCAAGGCUACUUUGCUUAUUCUUACUUAUGCUGUCAAGCAAGGCAAAAGCUAGAGAAAUUUUUAAGUUUUCUGAAGUAAGGAAUGUGUGAAAGAUAAGGGCAGGUUCAUGUUGGUUUUGUUGUUUGUUUGUUUGUUUGUUUGUUUUUCCUGACAGGGUUUCUGUGUGGCUUUCGAGGCUUCCCUGGAACUAGCUCUUGUAGACCAGGCUGGUCUUGUACUCACAGAGAUCUGCAUGCCUCUGCCUCCCUAGUGCUGGGAUUAAAGGCGAGCACCACCACACCCAGCUUCAUGUUGGUAUUUUGUUCAUCAUUGAAGUUGAUGUUUAUUUACAUUUACUUACCCUAUUGUACAGCACUUGAUAUACCAAUGAAUUGAAAGUGAUUUUUGAGCCAGGUGGUAGUGGCCCAUGCCUUUAAAUCCCAACUCUUGGGAGGCAGAGGCAGGCAGAUCUCCGUGAGUUUGAGGCCAAUCUGGUCUACAGAGUGAGUUCCAGCACAGCCAGGGCUGUUAUACAGAGAAACCCUGUCUUGAAACCAUUCCCAUCACCACCGAAAAGAAAAUGAUUUUUUAAAACUAUACAGGUAGGAAAUUUUAUUUCCUAGUAGCAGGAAAAGUAGGUCUUAUAAAUUAAGUAUAACAGUAAACUGGAAGCUGUAUAGUAAAGGCUUAAGUUAUAUUUAAAAUUUUUAUAUUUCAUUUACUGACUUUUUGGACAAGAAUACAGUUUUAAUAGCUAUUUUACAUCUAUUAAUAUAAAUAAUUAGAUAUUAUUUAGUACAAUCAACAGCCUGCUUGGUAUUAAUUUUGAGAACAGAUUUAAGUAACUUACAAAUGGCUUAGAAUGUUUUUCACCCAGUUUCAAAAUCCAUUUUCCUUACAGAAACACAAUUAUCUUCCUGUAUAUAUACUUUCUUGAAUGUUACUGGUGAGCUAGUAAUUUUGCAUGCCUCAGUAAAGACAGUUGAUAGGCUGUUUGGUACAAAGUCUUGGCAUGGUUGCAGCAUUUAAUCCAAACUUAAAAAAAAAAUAAAUUGCUGUGUGCAUGUUCAUCUUGCUGGGGACUGAAAUCAGGUCCUCAUGUUUAUAUUUUACCAACUGAGCAAUCUCCCCAGCACUCAAAAUUAAUAACUUUAAUUUAUUCCCUCAAAACAUAUUUAAGAUUUAU
ensembl:lncRNA